rnacentral:lncRNA from 1 species
CCGAAUAGAAAAUACCAUAAUAUAAUAUCAUUAUCGGAAACAUUAAUUAAAGAGUUAUGAGGAACUGAACUAACAACAUGUAGAGCUUGUCCACUUGGAGAGUUGUUGUUGGUGCGGAGGUACAACCCUGAACACUCUUUAAUACUACCAAUCGUUCUCUCCCAUACCCAAAUCCUGAAAUUCACACAAAUUCUUAAAAAAUUUAAUAACAACGAUUUUGAGGUAAUAUUCUUAUCGAUAACAAGUUAAAAUCCAAUCUUGAAACAAAUAACACAGAGUGAAGUAUUAAGUAUUUCAUCAACUCCAUCUUUCCAAUUCCAAUGAUUUGUGAUUUUGUUCCAUCAACAAUCCGCAUAUACUACUUCUAUUUACAUGGAUUAAGGUUAGCAAAUAACCAUGAAUCUUCAGUUAUAUGGUCAGAGACACUUGAGUAGACAAUCCAAACAACAAAUUUUUCCUCUGCAAUAUUAAGGUCAGGUAUGAUGUUACCUUUGUGAGCCACAGAUCCUAAGGUUAUGGAAGUACCAGGUGGGGUUGUUUUCUGCACAAAGAAUUGUUGGAGUAAUUCCAGUUGUUCUUUGCUAAAGAUAGAUAUCCCUAUAUUUUCAAGCUUCUCUCUCAAGGUAGUUGAAUUACUUAUGCUCCCUCUCCUAGUAUUAAGUUUUGCAUCUUAUGAUCUGCCAUGCAAAUCCUAGCAUUUAUUCUUAGUGUGACUAAGUUUAUGCAAUGAUUACAUUCUGGCCUUUCCCUCCUUUAUUUUCCAAAGUUGAGUCAUCGUUAUCCUCCUCUAACUAUAAAUGCAGUUGCUCCAAAAUCAUUGAAUGAAUUACGAGUUCCCAUCAUGACUUUCUUGCAGCGUUCAUCACACCUAACUACAGCAAAUGCUUCACGAAGACUGAGAAUCGGUCAUUUGGAAAGGAUCCUUCCACGUACAUCAUCCAAGUUCUUAUUUACUCCUGUUAAGAACUUGUACAAUCUCUUUUGUUCCAAAAGUUUGUUGUGAUACAAAGCAUCAUCUAGACUUUCUUUUCUUGGACAUAUAUUAAGUACACGGCAUCAAAUGGGUGUCACCCAUGUACAAGAAAUUUACAUGUCAAUUAGUAUAUCUACAACAACAUCAAAAUCUUCCAUACUGUAAAGGUUAUGUUCCUAAAUAAUGAAACCACAUAUCUUUAAUAUUCACAAAAAGAUCUUUCCUCCUCUUAAAAGUCCUAUUGUUUCUCUCCUUCCAAACAACUCAAAAGAUGGACAAAGAGAUAAGGCAGGCAAACCUGUUGUUUCUAGAAAAGCCCUCCCAAGCCAAUACUUCAUUGUUCGCCAAAUCUGCCAUUACCCAAUUGAUUCCCAUAAUGUUGUAAACAAGGGCCCAAAGGUUGAAGGAAAAAGGGCACCAAAGCAGUAGGGGAUUGCAGGUCUCAGCAGUACACUUGUAAAGGAAGCAUCUGUUCACCAUAAUUUUCUCUUUUUUCGUCAAGUUAUCGAUAGUUAAUAUGCGCUCUUGGACCACUUCCUAUGCGAAAAAAUAGAUUCUUGCCAGGGGGGAUGCGCCUUCCAAAAUGAUCUUAUAAGGGAACAUCAUGCCCCUCACUUCUCUGCAUCCAACCAAAUGUCUGUAAAAUGAACUGACGGAGAAACUGCCAUUUUCCUUCAGGUUCCAGCACAGCUUGUCACUCCUGUUGUUAAGACAAAUGGUGGCCAACAACUGUAGAAAGUUCUCAUAUUAAGCCACUUCCUAGUCUUGCAGAUUUCUAUUAACUGCCACUGCACAUACCCAGCCAUCAGCAUCCCUGAAAGCUUCCCCAACUAAUAAGUAUUUUGUCCUAAGCAAUAGAAUAAAUCAUGUGGAAUCUGGACAUGAGGCUUUCCUCCCCACACCAUUUAUCAUGCCAAAAUCAAACUCUAUCCCUCUCCCAACAUCCCAUCCGGUGCACUCAAGCACGUUUUUUGUAGAUCGACAUUAUACCUUUCCAAAGACUCAUGUUAUGAGGUCUGUUCAUUAGAGGGAAGCCACCAUCACUGCCCCUUCUCACCCAUUUAAUAUCAAUGAUCCUCUUCCAAAUGCUGUUAUUUUCAUUCACGUAUCUCCAAACCCAUUUUCUAUGAAGCGNNNNNAAACAUAUCAAAGUGUUGCUAAUGACACUUGAGUAUGUUGAAUAUUAAGCGAUGGUAAGUUCUCCAUAUUGUUGAUCAUCAAGGCAUUCCAUUUUGAAAAAUUCAUAUGUACUUUUUAUGUGUGAGUACGCCUCCUUUGCUGCUUCCCAUAUUUCUGCUGCAGUUAUAGAGGAGAAAAUUGUCUCCUAUUUCAUUCGUCAAGGAAUUCAGUCACAACGACAUUACUUGGUUAUUUUAUAGUCGACAUGUUGAGUCUUCCUUCUACAGUUGGACAACUUCACCUGUAACUAUUAUGAAGAUGAGGACUAAUUGUAACCAUUGCAAUUAAUUCUUGCCAUUUAAUUUGUGGACAGUGAUCAUGAGAGGCCGACCUUUGAAGGCUCCCAGUUGCCUGAUAGGACUCGAGAUAACAUCCAUCGAAGGGGCUCCUCUUUUAACGGUCAUGGAUUUUUUUUUAAAAAAUGUCGGUUGUCAGAGUUUAAAUUACUCUGAUACCAUGUAGAAAGGGAGAAAUUUAUUUAAAAAUGGAGAUAUUUCUUUCUACAUUUUGAAAGGCUGAAGACAGCCAAUAUAUACAUACUUUACAAUUAAUUACUUUCCUUAGAGGAAGAUUUGACAAUUAGUUUACAGUAAAUAAGGAAUCAGAAAUAAAAUCUAAUAAUGUCAAAUCUAACUACUAAUAACAAAAGGUAUAGCUACCUAAUGGCCGGAUUUUUUACCAGGUCAAGAAUUAAAGACUGAAAAUAUUUCUACAAUAACGAAUUAAAUGCUGAGAAUAUUUCAACAUUAUGUUGAGAAUAUUUCCCAAUUUAUGCUGAUAAUAUUUCUACACUAAUGCUGAGAAUAUGUCUACAUUAAUGCUGAGAAUAUUUCCGCACUAAUUAAAAUUGAAACUAAUCUCUAACAAUCAAAACAACCCAAACAAUUAUGUCUGACAAAUUCUAAUCACUAUUAAUUGGGUCUUGACAUAGGACAACUUAAUAAAAUAAAUUUAGUUCUUAAUGAACACCUGUAACACUUAAAUUUAUUUCAAUAUAAUUUGAAUUAAAUUGUAAAUAUAAUUUUGUAGGUUUUUUUGUUUAAUUUUAAUUUAAUGAAAAAAUGAAGUAAAAUUAAUGGAGAAUUAAAUUGAAAACAACUCUAGGAAGAAGGAGUGAAAAUUUGGGUUCUGAGAGUAUUUUUGAAAGAAAAAUCGGAAAACAGAAACUAAAAACGCAAUUUUGGAACGUUUUACCACAUCAGACGCCGGGUCAGCAGCCCGGAAUAACCAGAACGCGACAAGUGGCAAAGAUGUUGACGCGGGAGACCACGCGGGGGGGCCACGUGGGCGAUCCGCGUGCCCGUGAUAGAACGACUGAGGUCCGUUCCUGCACGUGCGGACGGCCUGCAUGCGCUCCCUCCCAAACGCGAUCGAACAGCCAGAUUCAAACACGAUCGGACGGCUCAUAGUGAAUAGCGAUUGACGAUCCAGAUUGGAUGGCGAUGAACAGCCCAGAUUCACUCCCUAUUUAAUCGCGAUCGGACGGUACAGAUCAAACGCGAUGCAUGCCCAAGAUCAAAAGCAGAUAGGUAUAAAUAAUCCCCAUCCGCACCAAACCCUAAUCCUAGCUGCCAGAAUCCCUCGCCAGAGAAGACAACCUAGCCGCCGGGGAGCCGACCGCCGCCACUCACUGCCACACCGGAACCCUUUCCGACCGCCAAAAAAGGUAAAAACUUCUCUUUUGCACGAAAUUCAAUUUUAAGCUCACCCAUGACCAAAUCGGAGUGAUUGGCCAGAAAACAUCGGCGAAGCCCAACACCGUCGCCGCGGAAAAUUUCAUAAAACGCCUCCAAUGAGACCCUUCCCGAUUCCCGUUUCGCGUGAUUUUUCCACCGUUGUGAUCACCGUUUUCUUCUCCACAGGUUGACCAAAGUAAAACAUCCAACCGCAACGUAAGCCUGAGAAGCCGCCGCAUCGGAGAGUCCUGCCACUGGUGAGUUUCGGUUGUUCGUGUUUUUUCGGCCAACCGAUGGCUUUUAACGUGUUUUCUCGCAAGAAUCGAUGCAAAAUCGGCCAAAUUCAGCCGAAAACAGCCGACUCGAGACGGACCGCCACCGCAGGCAACGGCACUAUCCCCGGAGCACGGUGGAGCAGCCGUGCCGGAUUUCUAAAAUUGGUCGAGUUGGCCCUAGGACUGAUUUUGGGUUUAUUUGAAACAUUUGUAGGUACUAUAAGCGCAUUUCAGUUUUCAGAGAAAAAUUCAGGGGACCCAGGGACUGCCCGUAGUCACAAUAAACCGUUUACCUUUUCGACGUUAAAUCGAGUAAAUAUCCCUCACUUUAUUCCAUAUCAUAGAGUUGAAGUUUAAAUAAAUAAUAAUAUGAUAUUUGUGUAAAUUAAAUGAAUGUCCAUAAUUAAUUACUAAUUGCUAAUGGAGUCCGAACCGAAAAUUGUUCUCUGUUAAUCUUUGUUGAUAUAUUUUAUAGUCUAAAAGCAUGAUAGUGUCUUAUUGUUUUAUUUUAUGGUUUGAAUGCACAAAUUGUUACCUUACGUAACUACUGUUGAUUGGAAAAUUGAAAUAUGCUUGUAUUCCCUUAUGCUUGUUUGUUUGUUUAUGUGAUUAUGGUUGAUUUGAAAAAUGGAGACUAAAGGAAAACAGGAGAGUUAUGUGAUUAAAUAAACAGAUUGAAUGGCAGCUUUACUGAAUAUCCUGAGAGAUAGUGGACGAUCGGGUACAUAGAGAAUCUUACCGUGAAUGUUGUCUCAUACCGGACGGGGUAUGAAGACCUGAUAAUUCGGCGCCCAUACCGAACGGGGUAUAAGGACGGCCCGCUUCACCCUCAUACCGGACGGAGUAUUGAGAUUUAAUGAUUUGGCGCUCAUACCGAACGAGAUAUGAGAACGGCUCUGUAAUUGAGAUUGUUAAAGGAAAGAGUUCACGUGUAGCGGGAACAUCCCUAUGAACCCUCAUGGAUACUAGUAGGCUGGUGAAAAGAGAAACAGUUAUGGUUUGGUUUAUUGUUAAUGGAUAUAGAUUUAUAAUGUGUUCUAUGUUGCUGAUUGUUCAUGAAGUUAUGAUCUGUAUAGUAUUAUUAUUUUUAUAAGUUGUUUUCAUAAAUUCCACUAUGAUAAGUGAACGAGUAAUGAUUUUAUGAUUGAUAAACGAAUUUACUAAAUUUAAUGCUCCACUAAUGGUUUUCGAUUUUAUAUCAACUUUGACUUCUGUGCCGGUGAUAUAGUGUGAUAUCCUUAAUAGACUAGUGUAACUCAUCCUUUAUUUAACCAUUUCAUAUCAAGAGGAUCAACUUCCAGAUCCCGAUCCGUAAAAAAAUUGCGAGUAGAUGCUAGAUAUUUUCUAUUUUUCAUUUGUUUUCUUAGUUCUCGUGUUUCUUUUAAAAAAUAAAUUCCAUAAUAUUAUUCAGUACUUUUAAGUUAUUGUAUAAGAAAUGUAAAUCUUAAUCUUUUAUUUUACUUUCGCACUUAAGUUAUUAUAUAUUUUAUUUUGGAUUUUCGGGACCGUUACAACACCAAAUAACCAAAAAAGAAAGUAAAUGUUAAAAGUAGCACCUGCAACAGCAUAGAGAGUGUCAUCAAUGAGAAAAUAAGGAGAGAUUCUCGUAAAUGAAUCACAAAAUAUAACACAACAUUUUAAGGGAUAAACAUGGUUUUAACAUUUUAGGGACAUUAUAAAUUUAUAUCAAUCAACAAAUUCUAUUCAUGCACACACACAACGGGCUGCAAAGCAUUGGUACCAUUUAAAUGGAUAGAACUGUCCAUUUCACCGUGGAAGAGUUAUCCAUGGUUUAAAACAAUCUUCUAGUUGCAUCUUCAACCCAGCCACCCAACCGAAUAUAUGUAUCCUUCCCUCUGUUGCUCUAUUUCAAAUGGACAAAAGUGAGGUUUACUGUUUAUCCCAAGUAGAUAAGUUGAACUGCAGUCAACAUGAAAUACACCAUCCAGACAAAAUUCUUACGCCAAACUAACAAGCAACCUAGACGUAAUAAGCUAAUUCUUUACUCCCUCUAUUACAUUGUUAGCAUAGCAUGAGGAGGAUCCAAUAAAGCAAUAUUUAUAUGAUACUGCCAACGUCAAAAAGAAAAUUAGGAAUAAACCUAGGUAACAGAACUGAACUUCAGGACCAAUAUAGCAUCACUUGAUAGGUCCUCUCAUCUGCCAAACAAAGAAAUUACUGGAGUUCCAACCACAUAAAACUUCCUUCAAGUUUUAACUACGAUCAUUGAUCAAAAUUGGUGGCAACACUUCCCUUUGCACAAAGUACAAUAUUUCUGAGCUGUCCCAUUAGCAGCGAAAGCUCGAGGACCUUUCCAAAUAAGCAACCUCAAACAUCGAAAUCUAACUCCACUUCUAACAGCACCAAUUCAAUGUCCACCUAACCAGCUCCGCGAAACCCAAGUUUUCCCAAGUUCGACCAUUCACUUCUAUUUCGGCAAAUUUCGAUAGACUAUUCGCCCAACAAUCAAAUAAAAUAAAUCUUAUAGAAAAUCGAUAAGGACCAAUUUUUCCUCGCACAACAACAGCAGCAGCAGAAAAUGGAUUCGAGCACUUACUAUAACCAACCAAAACAUACAAUUUUCAUGACUAAAUAGAAUUUCAACAAAACUAAUAACGAAAAUCAAGCUAAAACCAAAAUUACCUCAAAAUAAGCAGCAAAAACUCAAAGCAAAAUUCAAUGAAACAGAGCGCAUUUCUCUAUCUUCCUUGCUUUCAUCUGCUACUUAAACCAAACUGUCGUAGUUAUGAAGAGAUUAUUGCCGCCGAGAGAGAAUCAUUAUCGAUAUUAAGCUCGAACUAUUAAGGCGUCAAAAUCAAAGCCCUAAGAUUCUCAGAAACCAAUAUGAAAAAGCACUAAUUCUAAUAAUUGGAACCGGACCGAAGGCGAUAAAAUUCCUAGAGAGAGAGAGAGAGUUCUAUAAAACUGAGCACACGGAGAUGAAAGAGAAAAUGGUUAAGUGAGAAGCUACACCCCGAAAAUUAUUAUUAUUAUCAUUUUUAUUACGAUAGGAAGUUACUUUUCAAUUUAUAUUUCGAUUCUCCUAAAAAAUGUAAAUAAUAAAUAAAUAACAUUUUUAAUAAACAAAUUGUUAUUUUGGGAACAGUACAUUGGAA